UGAACCUCUUAAAAAAUUCAGAACAAGUUUUCUCAGAGUUUACAAAGGGAUUUCAAUCACAUGAAGAGAGGAAAACACACUGAGUCGUAACAGUGACAUCAAAAUACUUUUGAAGUUGACUGAAAAUGUGGUUGCUUUUGUUUGAGAAUGGCAAAUUAAAGAAUUGGAUAUUGGGUUCUUAUCUCAGAAGAAACAAAGGAGGAGACCCUGAAAAACUGAACAUGAAGAGGAAGAAGUGGAGUUAUGCAACUCUUCAUAAGAAAAUCUCCAUCUGUUUGGAGAAGUACUGCGUCCUUCCGGAUUAUCUUCUACACUAUGCCUUAUUGUUAUCUGGCUGGUUCCACCACCGGUCAGAAGAAUGAAAAUUGCAGAUACCUAUUCUGUGUGUUUCUCUCCAGAAUGGUGGAUGUUAGAGACCCUACUAAGGAUUUGUGGACUCACUAACGUAGUCUCUAAAAGGUGCUACAUCUGUACAAAUGAAUCCAAUGUUUCCAUGUGAGUCCAAAGUUCUCAAAUUCUUCACUGGCAGCAUUAUACAUUUUGGUGUAAAGUCUAUUUUCAUGGUUUAAAAAGUCAGACUAUUUUCCUGGGACAUUUGAUGAUAGAGAAUAAUUCAAUUUGCCAAAUAAUAUUAUUUUAAUUGACUUGCUUCCCAAACUGACUCUUGUCUAGCAAUUACACUUAUAGGUAUAAUUGUAUUUUUGUAUAAGUCUGAUUGAACAACCUUUGAAAUAUUUAUGCACAUUUAAAAUAAGAGGCUAUGUUUCACCAAUGGUUAUCAAUAAAAAAU
rnacentral:lncRNA from 10 species